rnacentral:rRNA from 1 species
ACUGAUAUGACGUGCUUGCACUGAAUUGACGUUGGAUUACCAGUGAGCGGCGGACGGGUGAGUAACACGUGGGCAACCUGCCCUGAAGCGGGGGAUAACAUCUGGAAACAGGUGCUAAUACCGCAUAACAACGAAAACCACAUGGUUUUCGUUUCAAAGAUGGUUUCGGCUAUCACUUCAGGAUGGGCCCGCGGUGCAUUAGCUAGUUGGUAAGGUAACGGCUUACCAAGGCAAUGAUGCAUAGCCGAGUUGAGAGACUGAUCGGCCACAAUGGAACUGAGACACGGUCCAUACUCCUACGGGAGGCAGCAGUAGGGAAUCUUCCACAAUGGGCGCAAGCCUGAUGGAGCAACACCGCGUGAGUGAAGAAGGGUUUCGGCUCGUAAAGCUCUGUUGUUGGAGAAGAACGUGCGUGAGAGUAACUGUUCACGCAGUGACGGUAUCCAACCAGAAAGUCACGGCUAACUACGUGCCAGCAGCCGCGGUAAUACGUAGGUGGCAAGCGUUAUCCGGAUUUAUUGGGCGUAAAGCGAGCGCAGGCGGUUGCUUAGGUCUGAUGUGAAAGCCUUCAGCUUAACCGAAGAAGGACAUUGGAAACCGGGAGACUUGACUGCAUAAGAAGACCAGUGGUAAU